AAAUCGAAUGAAUUCAAAACAAAGGAGAAAAAAAAGGAAGAACCCAAAAGAUUCUAACUUUUGCGGGUUGCGGCAAUUCGAAUCCGAGCAGUCAAGAAACCAAGAAUUGUUCACACAUUUCUCCCACUUCUCCGUCCCCAUUUCUUGCCCCGCAGAGAAGAUUUUCGCAGCACCGAAACUGGGACGAGAUGAUGUGGGCGGCGAAGCAGCAGAUUGCGAGAUCGAAACGGGGUCGUGUCUGGGCAGGAGCGCUCCUCUGCUGGCUGUUCCUCAUGCUGGCGACCCCGAAGAUCCCUUACUCUCCCAAGCAUCACGUCUACGCUGACAUGCGGAAUUUCCUCGGUGUGCCCAACACGCUCAAUGUGAUCACCAAUUUCCCGUUCUUGAUCGUGGGUGUGCUGGGCUUUGUUCUGUGUCUUCAAGGGAGCUACUUUAACGUGAGUUUGCAAGGAGAAAUUUUGGGUUGGACAUUGUUCUACGCUGGAAUAGCAGGUGUGGCUUUUGGUUCGGCAUAUUAUCACCUGAAGCCUGAUGACAGUAGGCUGAUGUGGGAUACAUUGCCGAUGAUGAUAGCAUAUUCCUCUCUAUUUUCCAGUUUUUUGGUGGAGAGAGUGGGGAAAAGGACUGGAUUAAGCUUUUUGUCUCUGCUCCUUUUCUUUUCCUUUCUCAGCGCAGCUUAUGAAAGAACAUUUAAUGAUCUCCGGUUGCGCAUGAUGUUUCAGUUGAUUCCAUGUGUUGUGAUCCCAUUUAUGACACUUUUGUUCCCACCAAAAUAUACUCACUCGAGAUAUUGGCUUUGGGCAGCAGGUAUGGCACAUUUCCUGUCUGUUUCUCUGUUUCAUGUUCUCUCUGAGUAGCUUUUCACGGGCCACGCAAUCUUGUUGCCUUUGCAUCUAGGUUUCUUCUGCUUAAAAAGAGAGUAAUGGGGAUCAAAGAAAGUGUAUUUGGGGGAGGUUUACUCCAAUGCUACACUUUAGUGGCGACUAUUUUUUCUUAAAUUAUUUAUACCCCUUUUUUAGAAAUUUCAUGAGUCACCUAUAAGAAUAAGAGGAAAACCUUCUCAGUGGUUAAUGCAGUGUCCUCAUGGAUUGCCAAAAAUUUUGUCAGGACGUCGUCAAUAUGAAAAAGUUAGGAGAGCAAGUAUUUUUACUUUUGUCCGAAAAGAAAGCAAGAUUCGAAGUCCUAGGAUUUUAGAGCCUUCUAGUUUACUAUCCUCUCUAAGUUAACAAAUGAAAGUUGAUCACGGCAGAGAAUGUGUUUAUACUUAGUUUGUUGUGCCAUGAAUUAAAGGGGCUUUGGGUUCUCUGCCUCUUUCACUGAUCUGUUUUUUCUUACUUUUAAGGAGAUUCGAUGGUGUGAUGUGGACUGUUGGCAAUCAUCAAUUAAUGUUCCUUUGGUUAGACUUACAAUUUCGAAUCAUGAUACCAUGUUUCAACAGUGUUUCGUAGUAGUUUAUUGAACAUCAUUUGCAAGAAGAUAAGGAACAUUUGAACCUCGUACGUUUCAGAUCAGGAUUUGGGUAUCAUUGCACUGGCAUCAGGAUUUGGGUAUCAUUGCACUGGCAAGAAUUCUUGUAAACUCUCAAGUUUCUUUUUUAAGCAUGACUGCAAGAAAACCGGAAUCAUUUGACCUCAUAAUUUGAUUCCGGGAGAGUUAAUCAUGUGCAGUCUAUGCCAUGCGGUUUUCAAUUGCAUAUCACAAAUCAAUAGAAUAUAGUGGAAACUAAUGUACUGUCAAAACUAGGUUUUGCUUUGCCGCGCCCCUUUUCAAACUCGUCAUUUAUUUCAAAAAGUAGAGAUUGCGAAGUUAGCAUUUACAACUGAAGUUAUCAGAAACGUGAAAUUCACCUUGUCCCUCCAAAGGAUAAGCGAUUGUAGUCUCCUAAUUUUACUCUCAUCAGUUGUAUCUACCUUCCUUAUGAUUGGUAUUUCUUGAGUUAUGCUGGAGCAUGGAAUUAAGGAUUUAAUUUACUAAUUUUACUCUCCUUAGUUGUAUUUACCUUGUGAUUGGUAUUUCUUGAUUUUUGCUGGAGCACAGAAUUAAGGAUUUAUAGUGUGUCCUUGUCUUUGCACCAGUCGAUAUGUUUUCUUAAGCUAUCAGUUUGAUCUCACCGUGGGUGUUAUUUUCAGCUCGCUUUUGCCUAUAUCUAUUAGUUCAUCAAUAGGCAUCUACCUUCUCUCCAAAUUUGAAGCUUUUGCUGACCGGAGGAUAUACCAUGCUAAUAGUUACAUCAUCAGCGGGCAUUCCCUGGAGCACUUAUGUUUAGCGAUGUUGCCUGUUCUGCUUACAAUGAUGC